AUUGAACGCUGGCGGCAGGCCUAACACAUGCAAGUCGAACGGUAACAGGAAGAAGCUUGCUUCUUUGCUGACGAGUGGCGGACGGGUGAGUAAUGUCUGGGAAACUGCCUGAUGGAGGGGGAUAACUACUGGAAACGGUAGCUAAUACCGCAUAACGUCGCAAGACCAAAGAGGGGGACCUUCGGGCCUUUUGCCAUCGGAUGUGCCCAGAUGGGAUUAGCUAGUAGGUGGGGUAACGGCUCACCUAGGCGACGAUCCCUAGCUGGUCUGAGAGGAUGACCAGCCACACUGGAACUGAGACACGGUCCAGACUCCUACGGGAGGCAGCAGUGGGGAAUAUUGCACAAUGGGCGCAAGCCUGAUGCAGCCAUGCCGCGUGUAUGAAGAAGGCCUUCGGGUUGUAAAGUACUUUCAGCGGGGAGGAAGGGAGUAAAGUUAAUACCUUUGCUCAUUGACGUUACCCGCAGAAGAGGCACCGGCUAACUCCG
rnacentral:rRNA from 1 species